AGACCCGAAACCCGGUGAUCUAGCCAUGGGCAGGUUGAAGGUUGGGUAACACUAACUGGAGGACCGAACCGACUAAUGUUGAAAAAUUAGCGGAUGACCUGUGGCUGGGGGUGAAAGGCCAAUCAAACCGGGAGAUAGCUGGUUCUCCCCGAAAGCUAUUUAGGUAGCGCCUCGUGAAUUCAUCUCCGGGGGUAGAGCACUGUUUCGGCUAGGGGGCCAUCCCGGCUUACCAACCCGAUGCAAACUGCGAAUACCGGAGAAUGUUAUCACGGGAGACACACGGCGGGUGCUAACGUCCGUCGUGAAGAGGGAAACAACCCAGACCGCCAGCUAAGGUCCCAAAGUCAUGGUUAAGUGGGAAACGAUGUGGGAAGGCCCAGACAGCCAGGAUGUUGGCUUAGAAGCAGCCAUCAUUUAAAGAAAGCGUAAUAGCUCACUGGUCGAGUCGGCCUGCGCGGAAGAUGUAACGGGGCUAAACCAUGCACCGAAGCUGCGGCAGCGACGCUGAUGCGUUGUUGGGUAGGGGAGCG
rnacentral:rRNA from 6 species